rnacentral:tRNA from 3 species
CCAAGGGUAGUUCAACUGGUAGAACCCCGGGUAGGUAGCUCCUAUCUGGUAUAUGGAAGUUCAAAUCUUCCCCCUUGGG